UUGUAACAAUUUUUAUAUAGUAUUACUCUUUAGUUGUCAUUUGAUAAUGAUUUUAAUUUUUUUUUCAAUUUUAAAAUUUUCACGUUAAUAUCAUAUGUUAUUAUUGUAUUUUUUUCUUCUUCUAUGCUUUAUUUUUCCUAACACACCUAAGUAUGUUAAUAACUUAAAAAUGCUUGCAAGUUUGAAGUAGGUUGGAUAUAAG
rnacentral:lncRNA from 1 species